GACGAACGCUGGCGGCGUGCUUAACACAUGCAAGUCGAACGGAAAGGCCCUGCUUUUGUUGGGUGCUCGAGUGGCGAACGGGUGAGUAACACGUGAGUAACCUGCCCUUGACUUUGGGAUAACUUCAGGAAACUGGGGCUAAUACCGGAUAUGAGCUCCUGCUGCAUGGUGGGGGUUGGAAAGUUUCGGCGGUUGGGGAUGGACUCGCGGCUUAUCAGCUUGUUGGUGGGGUAGUGGCUUACCAAGGCUUUGACGGGUAGCCGGCCUGAGAGGGUGACCGGCCACAUGGGGACUGAGAUACGGCCCAGACUCCUACGGGAGGCAGCAGUGGGGAAUAUUGCACAAUGGGCGGAAGCCUGAUGCAGCAACGCCGCGUGCGGGAUGACGGCCUUCGGGUUGUAAACCGCUUUCGCCUGUGACGAAGCGUGAGUGACGGUAAUGGGUAAAGAAGCACCGGCUAACUACGUG
rnacentral:rRNA from 1 species